rnacentral:rRNA from 1 species
GGCUUAAUGAUAUUAAUUUUAGGUCUAUCUGCCCAAUGAUUUUAAAUUAAAUGGCUGCAGUAUAAUUGACUGUACAAAGGUAGCAUAAUAAAUUGUUUUUUAAUUAAAAACUAGAAUGAAAGAAUUAAUGAGAUAUAUACUGUCUCAUAUAUAUUUGAUUAAUUUAAAUUUUUAGUAAAAAUGCUAAAAUAAAUUUAUGGGACGAUAAGACCCUAUAGAAUUUUAUAUUAAUAUAUAAAUUAAAUUAUUUUAGAUAUUAAUAUUUAAUUGGGAGGAUUAAUAAAUUUAUUAAACUUUAUUUUAAAUAUAAACUUUGAUUAAAGAAUUUAUAAUGAUUAUGUAUUAUGAAUUAUGAGAAUAAAUUACCUUAGGGAUAACAGCGUAAUAUCUUUUUAAAGAUCAAAUUAAUAAAGAUGAUUGCGACCUCGAUGUUGAAUUAAGAUAAAUUUUAAAUGCAGAAGUUUAAUAAUUAAGUCUGUUCGACUUUUAAAAUCUUACAUGAUUUGAG